rnacentral:tRNA from 1 species
GAAGUUAUAGUCAACAAAUUGAUAUCUGACCUGCAAUCAGAAGGCGCCCAAAAGGGCUAACUUUA